GCGUACUCUGAUAUCGCGCUGACGUGGACGCGAUUUCCUGAAAAAAGGACCAUUCCGAUAAAUAAUUAAAAAAUAGGCCCAUUUCAAUAAUUUUUGAAAAAACAGACUUUUAUUGAUAAAUUGCCCAAAAUCUUCAUCUUAUUAAAUAAUCAGAUCAUCAUUGAUAAUGGAAUCUCAGUGGUAUAUUUCCACAUCAAGCGAUGUCAAAAACUCAAUUGAUGGCAAAUAAAAUGGCUGCAAAAACCGAAAUUACACGCAAUUCCAACAUUUGUAUUAAAGGUCAACAUGCCUUAACAUCAUUUCUUAUUCACAAAAGGUCAAGGUGAGGCAUGAAAACUUCUAAAACACAUAAAUUUACACAUUUUUAAACAUACUAGUAGUAAUAAAUGUGCAUUGUAUUUAAAGGAUAUCUUAACUUAUAUUUUUAGGGUUGAGGACUCCUGAAUUAUUUAAAGCUUAGUGGUGAAAUGAUUUUUGCUUGGUGAUGAGUUUUUUUUUUUAUUGUGUUUCAUUCUUCUGCUUAUGUAUUUAUUAUUUUGAGAGGUGAUGAUUGAGUUUUGUCUUUCAGCUAUUUGUUUGUUUGCAUAGGAGUUGGAUGUUUAAGGUCGAGAGUGCUUCAAUUUGAAUGGUUGUUCUGAAAAUUUUUGUAAUCUCUUCUAUCAAAGAGAUUAGUAUUUACCAAUAUUUUCUCUUAUUAAUAAAUUCAUAUCGAUUGAUCAGAAAAAUAAUAAACACAAAAAUACAAAUAUUAUAAUAAAAUAAUUUAUAUAAUGUAUAAAAUUUUGAUUAGAUGCAAAUAUAAUAAUUUAAUUAAUGUUAAUGAGAUAUAAUAUUCCUCCAUAAUCUAUUAAUCAAUUGAAGUACUUAGUUUUUUUGCUCGUGCAAUGCGUAAGUAGAUUAUAUAUAUUAAUUAAAUUAUAUUAAAUUAUAUUUUUUUAUAAAUUUUAUUAAUAAUUGAUAAAUAAAUUUAAACAUGAUAUUUCAAUAUUAAAAAUAUUAAAAUUAAUAAAUGAUAUUUUAUGACUAAAUGUAAAUAACAUAUGAAAUAUGAUACAAAAUAUAAGGAAGAAAAUUAUAUAAAAAAUCAUCUUCUAUGAUUAAAUUUUGUUGUAUAUAAUGAUAAAAUAUGAAUAAGUACUUUUUAAUAAUUUUUUUUUAAAUUUAUAAUAAUUAUGUUAAUUUAAUCAUUUUCAUUUUUCUAAGCAUUAAUCAUUUUAUUAGAAAAAGGAAGGCAAACUUCAACCAAAAAAAAAACAAAAGUCAAUAGACAAUAAGGGCAGCAAACCAACAGUACAUAACUGAAAACAAGGACAAAAAAAGCUUUGUACUUCCGAGAAACCUUUGUACUUACGCCAUGAUUGCCAAGCAGACACCUAUUCAGUCGCCAACCCUUUGUACUUCCGAGAAACCUUUGGUUUCAAUCUUAACAUUCAGCAAAAUGAGAGCUAAGUUCACGAAAUUAUUGGCCCCACGUUUACAGGACUCUGAAUCAACACAGACUCGGUUGGUUCAUUCAUGAACAUUUCAGACUUGGCCGAAGAAUAUCAGAUUGGGUGCUUAGGAGUGGAACUAAUUAUGAAGUCUUGCCAUUACGGUUAAAAAUACAGGCAUUCAAUGUGGAGCACGAUUACAAUCACAAUGAUGGGAUUUUGAUGGGGGGGAGCUUUGGCUAAAGCUGCAUCAGAAUUUGAGAGCAGAAAUUAUGGCAUGGUUCCGGCAAAAGAGUUGUUAGUUAAUGAGAUGCUAAAGAGGGUUAAAGUUUAAGAAGUAAGAAAUUAAUAUAAUAACAUAAUGAAAACAACUGAAAUCAGCUAAAACAGAGAGAAAAGAGAGAAGACGAUGACUGAAAUUCUGAUUUUUU
rnacentral:lncRNA from 1 species